AUUGAACGCUGGCGGCAGGCCUAACACAUGCAAGUCGAGCGGAUGAAGGGAGCUUGCUCCUGGAUUCAGCGGCGGACGGGUGAGUAAUGCCUAGGAAUCUGCCUGGUAGUGAGGAAUAACGUCCGGAAACGGGCGCUAAUACCGCAUACGUCCUGAGGGAGAAAGUGGGGGAUCUUCGGACCUCACGCUAUCAGAUGAGCCUAGGUCGGAUUAGCUAGUUGGUGGGGUAAAGGCCUACCAAGGCGACGAUCCGUAACUGGUCUGAGAGGAUGAUCAGUCACACUGGAACUGAGACACGGUCCAGACUCCUACGGGAGGCAGCAGUGGGGAAUAUUGGACAAUGGGCGAAAGCCUGAUCCAGCCAUGCCGCGUGUGUGAAGAAGGUCUUCGGAUUGUAAAGCACUUUAAGUUGGGAGGAAGGGCAGUAAGUGAAUACCUUGCUGUCUUGACGGUACCAACAGAAUAAGCACCGGCUAACUUCGUG
rnacentral:rRNA from 1 species